CCCUUAGAUGUUCGGGGCCGCACGCGCGCUACACUGAAGGAAUCAGCACGUCUUUCUCCUUGUCCGAAAGGACUGGGUAACCCGCUGAACCUCCUUCGUGCUAGGGAUUGGGGCUUGUAAUUCUUCCCCAUGAACGAGGAAUUCCCAGUAAGCGCAAGUCAACAGCUUGCGUUGAUUACGUCCCUGCCCUUUGUACACACCGCCCGUCGCUACUACUGAUUGGAUGUUUAAGCGAGGUUCUCGAACUGCUAGCGACUUAGCUUCGGUGAGGUCGCAGUGUGGGAAGUGAACCUAGCUUUGGUGUCUAGAGGAAGUAAAAGUCGUAACA
rnacentral:rRNA from 1 species